GGGGAAGAGAGAUCAGGGUGCUUGCCUAGCUGGAGCUCUUUCUCUCUCUCUCCUCCUCCUCUUCUCUUUUCCCCCUCUCCCCUCUCCCUUCUUUCUCCCAUGAGGACAAAGGAGAAGGGGGCCUUCUGCAAGCCAGAAAGCGAGCCCUCACCAAGAACCAAAUUGGCUGGCACCUUGAUCUUGGACUUGCAGCCUCUGAUGAGAACUGUGAACCUAAAUGU